rnacentral:tRNA from 1 species
ACGAGUAUGCCGAAAUUGGUAGCCGGGUGGGUUUUAGGCACUCAUUAUAUUAAGAGUUCAAGUCUCUUUACUCGUA